ACACACAAAAAUGAAAUAUCUAGGAAUACAGCUAAUCAAGAAGGUUAAAGAUCUCUACAAACCUGACAACGUUGGUGUUGUCGUGUUUGGAAAUGAUAAACUAAUUAAGGAAGGAGAUACAGUGAAGAGGACAGGAGCCAUUGUGGAUGUUCCAGUUGGUGAGGAGCUGUUGGGUCGUGUAGUUGAUGCCGUUGGUAAUGCCAUUGAUGGAAAGGGUCCAUUUGGUUCCAAGACCCAUAGGCGAGUUGGUCUGAAAGCCCCUGGAAUCACUCCUUGAAUUUCAGUGCGGGAACCAAUGCAGACUGGCAUUAAGGCUGUGAAUAGCUUGGUGCCAAUUGGUCAUGAUCAGCAUGAGCUGAUUAUUGGUAAUGGACAGACUGGGAAAAUCUCAAUUUCUGUUGACACAAUCAUUAACCAGAAACGUUUCAAUGAUGGAUCUGAUGAAAAGAAGAAGCUGUACUGUAUCUAUGUUGCUAUUGGUCAAAAGAGAUCCACUGUUGCCCAGUUGGUGAAGAGACUUACAGAUGCAGAUGCCAUGAAAUACACCAUUGUGGUGUCAGCUAUGGCCUCGGAUGCUGCCCCACUUCAGUAACUGGGUCCUUACGCUGACUGUUCCAUGGGAGAGUAUUUUAGAGACAAUGGCAAACAUGCUUUGAUUAUCUAUGAUGACUUAUCCAACCAGGCUGUUGCUUACCAUCAGAUGUUUCUGUUGCUCUGCCAACCCCCUGGUCAUGAGGCCUAUCCUGGUGAUGUGUUCUACCUACACUCCCGAUUGCUGGAGAGAGCAGCCAAGAUGAACAAUGCUUUUGGUGGUGGCUCCUUGACUGCUUUGUCAGUCAUAGAAACACAGGCCGGUGAUGUGUCUGCUUACAUUCCAAGGAAUGUCAUUUCUGUCACUAACAGACAGAUUUUCUUGGAAGCAGAAUUGUUCUACAAAGGUAUCCACCCUGCCAUUAAUGUCGGUCUGUCUGUGUCUCAUGUCGGAUCUGCUGCCCAAACCAGGGCUAUGAAGCAGGUGGCAGGUACCAUGAAGCUGGAAUUGGCCCAAUAUUGUGAGGUCACUGCUUUUGCCCAGUUCAGUUCUGACCUCGAUGCUGCCACUCAACAACUUUUGAGUUGUGGUGUGUGUCCAACUGAGUUGCUGAAGCAAAGACAGUAUACUCCCAUGGCUAUUGAAGAACAAGUAGCAGUUACCCAUGUGAAUGUAAGGGGCUAUCUUGAGAAACUGGAGCCCAGCAAGAUUACAAAAUUUGAGAAUGCUUUCUUGUCUCAUGUUGUCAGCCAGCACCAAGCCCUGUUGGGCACUAUCAGGGCUGAUAGAAAGAUCUCAGAAGAAUCAGAUGCAAAGCUGAAAGAGAUUGUAACAAACUUCUUGGCUGGAUUUGAAGCUUAAAAUCCUAUGGAUUCACAUCAAAUGCCAGUUCAGUUUUGUCAUUGUUUAUUCUAGUAAAUUAGUUUUAUUUGUGAAAGGGUUACUCUCAUACUCCUUGUGUACAGAAAUCACGUGAAAAAUAAAGAUUCCAUAAUGUGAAAAAAAA